AUGGUCUCUGUCCGCCAUCCAUUCGAGCCAUUUCCAUCGAAGCCUGAGCGCCCUGCCAAAACGUUUGAUAUCCAUGAUGCCCAACCUGCCCAUGUCUUUAGGUCGACAGACGGUGUUCCAGUUAACCAGGGCCAAACCGACAGCUGCGACCGGCUUAGACCACCAGAGGAAGUUCGUGCGCAGCUUGUCAAUUUGCUUAAUGACCCAAGAAUCAAGCUUGAAGACCGUGAUCAGGUAAGUUGGGAUAACAGACAACACCGAGUUCACCAACCGCAGUCGUUCAUCACUGUUGAGAAGCUUUCCUUUGCACUUCUGCAGUUUUGCAGCUAUUUUUAUCUAGGACCGGUUGUAUUUCAGCUCACGUGA
rnacentral:rRNA from 1 species